AGAGCGAACGCUGGCGGCAGGCCUAACACAUGCAAGUCGAACGGACCCUUCGGGGUUAGUGGCGGACGGGUGAGUAACACGUGGGAACGUGCCUUUUGGUUCGGAAUAGCUCCUGGAAACGGGUGGUAAUGCCGAAUGUGCCCUUCGGGGGAAAGAUUUAUCGCCAUUAGAGCGGCCCGCGUCUGAUUAGUUAGUUGGUGAGGUAAUGGCUCACCAAGGCGACGAUCAGUAGCUGGUCUGAGAGGAUGACCAGCCACAUUGGGACUGAGACACGGCCCAAACUCCUACGGGAGGCAGCAGUGGGGAAUCUUGCGCAAUGGGACGAAAGCCUGACGCAGCCAUGCCGCGUGAAUGAUGGAGGUCUUAGGAUUAGUAAAAUUCUUACGACCGGGGACGAUAAUCGGAACGGUACCCGGAAGGAACGAACGCCCCGGACUAACCUUCGGUGACCCAGCCGACGGCCCGAC
rnacentral:rRNA from 1 species